AGCGAACGCUGGCGGCAGGCCUAACACAUGCAAGUCGAACGAACCCUUCGGGGUUAGUGGCGGACGGGUGAGUAACACGUGGGAACGUGCCUUUAGGUUCGGAAUAACUCAGGGAAACUUGUGCUAAUACCGAAUGUGCCCUUCGGGGGAAAGAUUUAUCGCCUUUAGAGCGGCCCGCGUCCGAUUAGCUAGUUGGUGAGGUAAUGGCUCACCAAGGCUACGAUCAGUAGCUGGUCUGAGAGGAUGACCAGCCACAUUGGGACUGAGACACGGCCCAAACUCCUACGGGAGGCAGCAGUGGGGAAUCUUGCGCAAUGGGCGAAAGCUUGACGCAGCCAUGCCGCGUGGAUGAUGAAGGUCUUAGGAUUGUAAAAUCCUUUCACCGGUGAAGAUAAUGACUGUAGCCGGAGAAGAAGCCCCGGCUAACUUCGUGCCAGCCGCCGCGGUAAAAC
rnacentral:rRNA from 1 species